GUCGGCUGAGUACAGCAAUACCCCUGUAUGUACCUUUGCCAGGUAUGUGUGGACAUCGGAAGGGCACAUUUGGGACACAGCCAUUCCAGUUUUUUUUCAAACUUUGAAUUUUUAUGCUGUGCCUAUGUCCCAUUUUAGAGUAUUUUACCAGGCUAUAUAAACCAAAUACCCCAUAAAGCCAUACCAUUUCUUAAAGAAGACAUCCCAGGGUAUUUCAAAAGGCAUAUUUUGAACCUUAGCGUGGGAUCAUUUUUCCGCUAGCUUGUACCAAGUGUAGUGGUAAUAAGCAUUUUUU